CACUGACUAGGAAGUUCCGGUUAUAACUUCGACUUUCGAAAUAUUCUCUAAGGUAUCAUAUAGUUAUCAUUAUUAAUAAUACAAGAAUGGCCCGUUAAGAAAGGGCACCUUUGUGAAAGCGUCGACCCUCCGCAGACUUGAGGGACUAGAGAAAGCACGGGAAGACAGUGGUUCGAAAAGUAAACACGAUGUUGAAAAUGAUGAUCCAUGUCUGGAGAACGAUUCUAUCCCCGUCAUACGUACUCCUGAGUCAGAAAGUGCAGAACCUUCGUGGGGUGUUGGGAGACGUAUAAUAGAACUUGGUACACGAUUAGAUAAUUUGAAAAGAGGGUGCACCAUGUGUGGCAACAUACUUCAUCUUGUCAACACUAUAGGGGGAAGGAAAUUUAGACAUGGACAGGUUCUUCAUGUACAAUGUACACAGCCUACUUGCUGCUUUAUUAAUGACAUACCCACAGGCAGUAAGCAUAACGUGAAAGCAGGCAAGAAGCAUAUGCAUGGGAUGUCAACACAAAACUUGCUGCAGGUAUAAUUUAUAUCU